rnacentral:rRNA from 1 species
GACGAACGCUGGCGGCGUGCUUAACACAUGCAAGUCGAACGGAAAGGCCUCUUUCGGGGGGUACUCGAGUGGCGAACGGGUGAGUAACACGUGAGUAACCUGCCCUUGACUUUGGGAUAACUUCAGGAAACUGGGGCUAAUACCGGAUAGGAGCUCCUGCUGCAUGGUGGGGGUUGGAAAGUUUCGGCGGUUGGGGAUGGACUCGCGGCUUAUCAGCUUGUUGGUGGGGUAGUGGCUUACCAAGGCCUUGACGGGUAGCCGGCCUGAGAGGGUGACCGGCCACAUUGGGACUGAGAUACGGCCCAGACUCCUACGGGAGGCAGCAGGGGGGAAUAUUGCACAAUGGGUGGAAGCCUGAUGCAGCAACGCCGUGUGCGGGAUGACGGCCUUCGGGUUGUAAACCGCUUUCGCUCAUGACGAAGCUUUGUGUGACGGUAGUGGGUAAAGAAGCACCGGCUAACUACGUG